GAACCGGAUUAGAUACCCGGGUAGUCCACGCCGUAAACGAUGGAUACUAGCUGUUGGAGGUAUCGACCCCUUCAGUAGCGAAGCUAACGCGUUAAGUAUCCCGCCUGUGGAGUACGGCCGCAAGGCUAAAACAUAAAGGAAUUGACGGGGACCCGCACAAGCGGUGGAUUAUGUUCUUUAAUUCGAUGAUAACCGAAGAACCUUACCAGGGCUUGACAUCCAGGGAAGGUCUGCGAAAGUAGACUGUGCCUUUUGGAACCCUGUGACAGGUGAUGCAUGGCCGUCGUCAGCUCGUGUCGUGAGAUGUUAGGUUAAGUCCUUCAACGAGCGCAACCCUUGUGAAUAGUUGUAUUUUUCUAUUCAGACUGCCCCGGUAACGGGGAGGAAGGAGGGGAUGAUGUCAGGUCAGUAUUUCCCUUACGUCCUGGGCUAGAAACGUAAUACAAUGGCUAGUACAAUGCGCAGCGAAGCCGCGAGGUGAAGCAAAUCGCAUCAAAGCUAGUCCCAGUUCGGAUUGUAGGCUGAAACUCGCCUGCAUGAAGUCGGAAUCGCUAGUAAUCGCAGAUCAGCAUGCUGCGGUGAAUACGUUCCCGGGUCUUGUACACACCGCCCGUCAAACCAUGAAAGUGACCAACACCCGAAGUCCGAUUCGUCGGCCUAAGGUGGGGGGCAUGAUUGGGGUUAAGUCGUAACAAGGUAUCCGUACCGGAAGGUGCGGAUG
rnacentral:rRNA from 1 species